UCGGGCAGCCUAGCGACCGGCCGGGCCUUGCACCGACUGCCCCUCGAGUGCCUUCCCGGCCUCGGACCGGAGGUGGCCUUUCUUUAGGAAGUCGGAGAACCUGCCGCGCCCCUGACCCUCCCGGGGCCUCCGAGGAACGCGAAGCUCCAGCGGGAAAAGCGGCGCUGGGGAAGCGCCUGAACUGGACUCCGUGGGUCUCUGGGGGGGGUCCCUCCAAGCGACUGACGCCCCACUGUGGGCUGUCUGUCCAUGUCCCCUCCGCAUCGCGAGCUGCAAUCAGCGGGCACCAGCCAGGCGACUUCGCAAGAUAAAUCAAGGUAACCGCAAAGGGACGAUCUGGGACCCACGUCGGCGACCCGCCCCUUCCCAGUCCGGGAAUGAUCCAGAAGCGCUUCGGCUGCUUCCCAUCCCUUUUAGUCUAACAUAGUAUAGAGCACUGAAGCUGAAAGGAGAAAUGUCUUUUCUAAAGCCGGUCAGUUUGUGCCUGGAAAGAACUGCUGCUGUCAUUUAAUCUUAGCAGCUCAGGGUUUUCCCUGUGCAUGAAGAUACCAGGGACAAGAGGUGACUGGUCGUCUCCCAAGGUGUCGAACCUCCCCAGGGGCUGUGAAGUGACCUCAAACGCAAUGCCUCUAGUACAUACCACUUAGGACUACUUAUCAAUGAUUGCCUGAAUGAUUAAGAGUUAUAUCUCUAUAAACAACAUGUCUCCGCAUGCCCCUCACUCAGCAGCCCUGCAGGUGCAAUUCCAUGUGGGCCUCCAGGAGGCUGGACCUCCCCCAUUAGGGGGAGGGUACUUCAUCGUCAUUGCUUGCUGUUUCAAUGAUAGAUAAUGGUCUGGUUUUGUAAUCAUCAAUCUGGUUUGUUGUGGACUUUUCUGUUUAACCUCACUGCCUGCAGGGACGCAUAUUUACAACAACAGCUUUGAGUCUGUCAUCUCCUAUAACCAGGCUCUGGUACACACAUGGCUGCAUCCAGCUGGAUCAUUCAUCUCCAAGGAGUGAAAAGUCUGCAAAUUCCCACAA